AUAUAACACUGCCCUGUCUACCACAGGUAUAUAAUGCUGCCCUACCACAGGUAUAUAACGCUGCCCUACCACAGGUAUAUAACGCUGCCCUACCACAGGUAUAUAACGCUGCCCUACCACAGGUAUAUAACGCUGCCCUGUCUACCACAGGUAUAUAACGCUGCCCUGUCUACCACAGGUAUAUAACGCUGCCCUACCACAGGUAUAUAACGCUGCCCUACCACAGGUAUAUAACGCUGCCCUACCACAGGUAUAUAACGCUGC